rnacentral:rRNA from 1 species
UACGUAGGGUGCAAGCGUUUGUCCGGAAUUAUUGGGCGUAAAGAGCUCGUAGGCGGUUUGUCGCGUCUGCUGUGAAAACUCGGGGCUUAACCCCGGGCCUGCAGUGGGUACGGGGCAGACUAGAGUGCGGUAGGGGAGACUGGAAUUCCUGGUGUAGCGGUGAAAUGCGCAGAUAUCAGGAGGAACACCGGUGGCGAAGGCGGGUCUCUGGGCCGUAACUGACGCUGAGGAGCGAAAGCGUGGGGAGCGAACAGG